rnacentral:rRNA from 1 species
CAGGUUCCGUGGAGGCGGAACGAGACGAGAAGCUUGCUUCUCUGAUGUUAGCGGCGGACGUUGUGAGUAACACGUGGAUAACCUACCUAUAAGACUGGGAUAACUUCGGGAAACCGGAGCUAAUACCGGAUAAUAUUUUGAACCGCAUGGUUCAAAAGUGAAAGACGGUCUUGCUGUCACUUAUAGAUGGAUCCGUCGCUGCAUUAGGUCUAGUUGGUAAGGUAACGGCUUACCAAGGGCAACGAUGCAUAGCCGACCUGAGAGGGUGAUCGGCCACACAUCGGAACUGAGACACGGUCCUAGACUCCUACGGGAGGCAGCAGUAGGGAAUCUUCCGCAAUGGGCGAAAGCCUGACGGAGCAACGCCGCGUGAGUGAUGAAGGUCUUCGGAUCGUAAAACUCUGUUAUUAGGGAAGAACAUAUGUGUAAGUAACUGUGCACAUCUUGACGGUACCUAAUCAGAAAGCCACGGCUAACUACGUGCCAGCAGCCGCGGUAAUACGUAGGUGGCAAGCGUUAUCCGGAAUUAUUGGGCGUAAAGCGCGCGUAGGCGGUUUUUUAAGUCUGAUGUGAAAGCCCACGGCUCAACCGUGGAGGGUCAUUGGAAACUGGAAAACUUGAGUGCAGAAGAGGAGAGUGGAAUUCCAUGUGUAGCGGUGAAAUGCGCAGAGAUAUGGGAGGAACACCAGUGGCGAAGGCGACUUUCUGGUCUGUAACUGACGCUGAUGUGCGAAAGCGUGGGGAUCAAACAGGAUUAGAUACCCUGGUACUUCCACGCCGUAAACGAUGAGUGCUAAGUGUUAGGGGGGUUUCCGCCCCUCAUGGCUGCAGCUAACUGCAUUAAUCACUCCGGCCGGGGGAGUACGAGCGCAAGGUUGAUACUACAAGGAGUUGACGGGGACCCGCACGAGCGUUGGAGCAUGUGGUUUAGUUCGAAGCAACGCCGAGAACCUUACCAAAUCUUGACAUCCUUUGACAACUCUAGAGAGAAUGCUUUCCCCUUCCGCGGGGACGGAGUGACAGGUGGUGCUGUGGUUGUCGUCCUCCUCCCUCUCAUGACAUGCUUGGGUUAAUACCCCCACCGACCGCAACCCCUUAUCCUCAUUUGCCAUCAUUAGUUUAUCGCAUCGUAUAAGUCUAACUGUCCGCGUGACAGACCAGACGCGAAAGAAGGAUUGAGUGUCAGACUUCAUCAUCUCCCCUCUCAUUUGGGCUUCACACUUGCUACAAUGGACAAUACAAAGGGCAGCGAAACCGCGAGGUCAAGCAAAUCCCAUAAAGUUGUUCUCAGUUCGGAUUGUAGUCUGCAACUGACUACAUGAAGCAGGAAUCGCUAGUAAUCGUAGAUCUAGCCUGCUACUGGUGACUACUGUUCCCGGGUCGUUGUUCCACAACCCUGCCCCCCCCGUUA